AGACAACAAAUCAUUCCAAAAUCGAGGCAGUGGACUUUACAUGGACAGAUAAAAUAAUUUGUAAGGCUGAAAAUUCAGGGGUAGUGAUUUGCAAUCAAACUUCUAAUUGUGGUCUUGGGGACAUACGAAGGUUCAUCUUUAUGGAAGAGGAGCCCAAGUCUUAACUCAUGAUUGCCUUCUGGGUUUCCGUGAUGGUGAGGGAAUGUUUUCAAUUGAAACAAGAGUUCCUGCCAAAACGAAAGAACAUGAAAACAUGAUUCUUCAUCACAUAUUUGGUAAAUCCCCUGCUCUCCAUUUGAAAAUCAGAAUUUGGGGGUUAAAUUACAAGAGCACUUUCAAGUGCUGCUUUUUAAAAAAACUGUCUAUCUAAAAUCACAGGCAAUCUUUGUAUGAGCGUGAGUAUUAAGACUGUUUAAAUGCAAUUUAUUGAGGAAGACUUUUGAAUGGAACCAUUUCUUUCUCCAUUAAAGAAUGUACUGAAAUAAACACUGUAAUUAAAUCAUC